CUUGAAAGAGCCUGUUCUUAUAAAAAGCCAAAAGUUGAAUGGACAUUUGCCAUGAGUUUUGACAUCAUUUUCAAGAGAUGUUUUCUCCAAUUGCAAAGGGUUAUUCUAAAGCUGCAAAGGCGCAAGUUUUGCAAUCUUAUGGAAAAGCUUGUAUUGACUGAAGAAAGUUGCACGUGAGGGGAGAUCAUAAUUUUAUAGUCUCUCUUUAAUCUUAAAUUUACACAACUACUUUAUUGUCAAUAUUCUUUGGUUUUGGAUUUAGACAAUAUCCUCAUGAUCACUUUUUAUUCCA